UUUGUUUCACAGGUAACACUUCCCACUAGGAUGUGAGUAGCAAGUCCUUUCACUUCUGUGACCUGUAAGAGAGAAGAACAGGAUAUUUAGGAUUAUACAAGGACUAUUUUCAUGCCAGUGAUUGAAGAAGGAAAUGGAAUCCAAAAAAGAUCCCCCCAUGAUCACUUCUUUAAGACAUUUAAUGUUACAGGAAUAACAGCAUUAGUGAUGCCUACUGAUUCACUGCAAUGGGCUUCAGCACCCUUUUGUGGUCCUUGCAGUGUAACCCGGUCACUGUCCCAGUCCUUUCCAGCCAGGAUGUGUGCCAGCAGCAGCUCUGUGCCAAAGUGGCUCCCAGCAUGUUGUUAAUGUUUCAAGAAACGUGGACUACAUUAAGAAAAAAAGACUGUGGGAGUGGCAAAGUUUCUGUGGCCUUCCAACAGUGCAAGAGCAAAACAGUUGAACUAAUGAAGAUGUACCUCUGUGUACUCCUUGUAACUCCUGUUGAUUUCAGUUAAACUCU